AGUACGAGCUCUUCAAGAAAGACUCCGCAAACUUGUUGAUUCUCAGGACUCUGCAACUUCAUCAACUCUUGAAAAGGCUCCUCCUUCUAUUGAUAAAUCCAAAUGCCCCAAAUAGCUCAUCUGUCCUUGCCAUUUCCUCUAAGAAACAAGUGUCUUAAAGUCUGAAUGUAAAUCUCCUCUCCCAAAUAGCUCAUCUACUUCAAUAUUUUCCUUUCAGAUACUAGAGAAGUGUUCAAGCUGUUAUCAAAUUUACAGCUUUUGGCCCUUCAUGCGGUAGAGCAAAAUCUGUAGUUAACUAGAUUAGUGAGUUAUUUAGGUUUUAUUGUUUCAGUUAUUGAUGGCAUUGUGAU
rnacentral:misc_RNA from 1 species